GGCUGUCCACUAGUCGCUGUGAGCUAUAUGUUCAGCCUGUAUUAUGUGCUGAAUAUAAAGUAUCCAACGGGAGCAGCCCUGACUCUGGAGUUCAUCCAGAGGUGCCUGCUGGGGAUAAACCCAGAACGGGGCACGAAAGCAGAAAAGCGGGGGAAACAGUACAACAUCCCUCCAAAACUGCUUAGAUUCCUGUCGGACCUUAAUGACUUCAAGAAUCCGUGGAAGAUUUAAAGCAGAAGAAGCAUCUCAAACAGAGAAAGGAGAGUGAUGUGUGUCUGUGGACACCCAUCUUUACGGAGGACAACCAUGGUAUUAUUAACUUUUUUUAAAUAAGGACCAUUUUGCAAAAGUGAGGACAUUUCAGCCGACUACACUUUAUUUUCC